ACGCCGAUCCCAAGCACCAUGGAGCCGACGAUUUGGAUCAAGACCUACAUCCCAAGCACCAAGGUGCCUGGUUGAUAUGGAUCGCGAUCCCGAUCCGGAGCUCCAGGGCGCCGAGGAUUUCGAUCACGAUCCUAAUCUGAAGCACCGAGUAGCCGAGGAUAUGGAUCAAGACCCCGGUCCGAAGCGACAAGGAGGCAAGGAUUUGGAUCACCACUCCGAUCAAAGGCACCAAGGCGUCGAGGGAUUGGAUUGAGAUCCCGAUCCCAAUCAUGAAGUUGGCUACGUAAUUUCCUGUUUUCCACACCGUUCAGGGCAUUUUGGUGGUCGUAUCGGCUUUUAGUUGCUUGCUUGGUGUUAGUGCCAAGGGAGUGGUUGGAAGCUAGGUCGUCCUCUGGAGUGCUUGUUGUAAAGGUGUAUGAGUUGUGUUUGGCUUGUUACGGGUGUUUGUUGGCUGCUUGUGCAGGAACUUUCAUGCGUGCAAGCCUCUUCAGUUGUGCUACAAGGCCUUGUUUGUCUUGUGCAUACGGUGGGUCUCCUGUGUUGCAUACCUAAUCAAGGGCAUCGUAUGGCUUGAUCGAAGUAAAAAUUCGUAAUGCGCCGCUUGCGGCGUUGCACGAACCUCGAAGUGGUCUCUGUGGCCCAUGUUGUCUUUGCUAACGUAUGGAUGGCAUGGCCCUCGGAGCGUCGCUUGGUCUCUUGGAUACGGAACCUGAUGAUGUGGGCGGUAGGGUCUUGGAUGAUUCUACCUUCGC
rnacentral:misc_RNA from 1 species